rnacentral:piRNA from 1 species
UGUCUUGGAUGACUCCAGAAUCUUGGAGAGG